rnacentral:rRNA from 1 species
GACGAACGCUGGCGGUGUGCCUAAUACAUGCAAGUAGGACGCAGUUGCGAACGGGUGAGUAACGCGUAGGUAACUACCUAUUAGAGGGGGAUAACUAUUGGAAACGAUAGCUAAUACCGCAUACUAGUAGAUGGACCUGCGUUGUAUUAGCUAGUAGGUAGGGUAAUGGCCUACCUAGGCAACGAUACAUAGCCGACCUGGGGAGGUGAUCGACCACCCUGGGGCGGAGACACGGGCCAGACUCCUUCGGGGGGCAGGAGUAGGGAAUCUUCGGAAAUGGGGGGAACCCUGACCACGCAACGCCGCGGGAGUGAAGGAGGUUUUCUGAUCGUAAAACUCUGUUGUUAAGGAAGCGGUACUUAACCAGAAAGGGCCGGCUAACUACGUGCCAGCCGCCGCGGUAAUAC